rnacentral:rRNA from 1 species
UACGACUACAUAUCAGGCAUAUCAAUAAGCGGAGGAAAAGAAGCUAACAAGGAUUCCCUUAGUAACGGCGAGUGAAGCGGGAAGAGCUCAAAUUUGAAAUCUUCAAGGUUUUACCUUGACGAAUUGUAGUUUAAAGAAGUGUUUUCUGUUGAAGUUUCGGUAAAAGUUCUUUGGAAUAGGACAUCAUAGAGGGUGAGAAUCCCGUAUUUGACCAGUUAUUUUCCAGCUGUGUGAUACACUUUCAAAGAGUCGGAUUGUUUGGGAAUGCAGUCCAAAAUGGGUGGUAAAUUUCAUCUAAAGCUAAAUAUUGGCGAGAGACCGAUAGCGAACAAGUACCGUGAGGGAAAGAUGAAAAGAACUUUGAAAAGAGAGCUAAACAGUACGUGAAAUUGUCAAAAGGGAAGCGUUUGACACCAGUGUUGUUUAGUUGAAAAUCAAUUAAAAAAUGCCUGAUUUUGUGUUGUAUUGACUUUAUCGCUUUCUUCACUUUUUUCAUUGUCUAUUUUUAAUGCACUUUUCGUUUAACAAGUCAACAUCAGUUUCUUUUGUUGUAAAAGAGUCAUUGGAAGGUGGCUUUCUUUUCGGAGAAAGUGUUUAUAGCCUUUGACUCCUGCAAUCGGAGAGACUGAGGUCUGCAGCGUAGAUCCUUCUUGGAUUAGAUUCAUUUGUGCUAAGUUAUAGCUUUUAUAGACAACUUGUUGACUAUGAUUAGUCAUGUAGCUUACUCGCUUAUGCUAAUUUUACCUACGCUUAGGAUGUUGAACGCGCACAGAGUCUC